GAACCGUGCGAACGUUGUUCGGAUUCACUGGGCUUAAAGGGCGCGUAGGCGGACCCGCCAGUCUGUGGUGAAAGCCCCCAGCUCAACUGGGGAAGUGCCGUGGAUACUGCGGGUCUGGAGGAGGGUAGGGGCAUCUGGAACGCUGGGUGGAGCGGUGAAAUGCGUUGAUAUCCAGCGGAACUCCGGUGGCGAAGGCGAGGUGCUGGACCCUUUCUGACGCUGAGGCGCGAAAGCCAGGGGAGCAAACGGGAUUAGAUACCCCGGUAGUCCUGGCCCUAAACGAUGAGGACUAGGUAGUGGACUUAACAUGGGUUCACUGCCGGAGCAAAAGUGCUAAGUCCUCCGCCUGGGGAGUAUGGUCGCAAGGCUGAA
rnacentral:rRNA from 1 species